rnacentral:misc_RNA from 1 species
ACAAAUCCAAUAUGGAGGAGGGGUGAAUAACCCUAAGUCUAAUAUUAAACCGCUAGUCCGAUUAGGGCUAGUUGGAUAUAUAUGCGUGUAUGUUGACAGUGUGUGACCGAAAAUUUAUUGA